AAAAAGAUAGAGCAUGCAUUGCUGCUUCAAUGUCCGUAGGUGUGUAGCUAGUAGAUGGUGCUAUGGCAUUGUAUGCCUAUAGACGCGAACCCAAGAUCCCUGGCCCAAAUUGACAUGGCCCAACAGUAGGAGCAACAACAUUUUUCAGUGCCUAGGAGGAAGCAACAUAUGGGCAUGGAGGCGGGUUUGGCUAUUGAGCCAACCAAGGAGCCUAGGCAGCCCAUGGCUGUUGCUGCC
rnacentral:lncRNA from 1 species